AUGGAAGCUCUGGAGACUGAAGUCCUCCAUUUAUCUACAGACCAGGGUGGACAUAGGCAACAGCAAUACCUCCGCAUCGACAGCAUGCCUCAACCUUCUUCUGGAAGCACUGUCUCUGUGGGCUAGAAAGUAAUUCAUUCUCUGUGUCCAUUCAGUUCUCGGAGCCU
rnacentral:sRNA from 1 species